AAGGGUGCGGUAAGAGCGCACCGCGCGGCUGGUAACAGCAGCGGCAUGGUAAACCCCGCCGGGAGCAAGACCAAAUAGGGAUGGCAGCCGCGCGCGCCGCGGCGGGUAUGUUUUUGGGCCGCCAUCCGGGUAGGUUGCACGAGGCGUCUGGUAACAGGCGUCCCAGAUGAAUGGUCAUCGCCUGCGCAAGCAGGUACAGAACCCGGCUUAUAGGCCAUCUGAUAAU
rnacentral:RNase_P_RNA from 1 species